AACGAACGCUGGCGGCAGGCUUAACACAUGCAAGUCGAACGCGUGUAGCAAUACACGAGUGGCGCACGGGUGAGUAACGCGUGGAUAUCUGCCUUUUGGUUCGGAAUAACUCCGGGAAACUGGAGCUAAUACCGGAUGGUUCCUUCGGGAUAAAGAUGUAUCGCCAAAAGAUGAGUCCGCAUACGAUUAGCUAGUUGGUGAGGUGAUGGCUCACCAAGGCGACGAUCGUUAGCUGGUCUGAGAGGACGAUCAGCCACACUGGGACUGAGACACGGCCCAGACUCCUACGGGAGGCAGCAGUGGGGAAUAUUGGACAAUGGGGGCAACCCUGAUCCAGCCAUGCCGCGUGAGUGAUGAAGGCCUUCGGGUUGUAAAGCUCUUUUGGCGGGGACGAUGAUGACGGUACCCGCAGAAUAAGCCCCGGCUAACUUCGUGCCAGCCGCCGCCGUAA
rnacentral:rRNA from 1 species